rnacentral:rRNA from 1 species
GAUGAACGCUGGCGGCGUGCCUAAUACAUGCAAGUCGAACGAACAGAUAAGGAGCUUGCUCCUUUGACGUUAGCGGCGGACGGGUGAGUAACACGUGGAUAACCUACCUAUAAGACUGGGAUAACUUCGGGAAACCGGAGCUAAUACCGGAUAACAUAUUGAACCGCAUGGUUCAAUAGUGAAAGGCGGCUUUGCUGUCACUUAUAGAUGGAUCCGCGCCGUAUUAGCUAGUUGGUAAGGUAGCGGCUUACCAAGGCAACGAUACGUAGCCGACCUGAGAGGGUGAUCGGCCACACUGGAACUGAGACACGGUCCAGACUCCUACGGGAGGCAGCAGUAGGGAAUCUUCCGCAAUGGGCGAAAGCCUGACGGAGCAACGCCGCGUGAGUGAUGAAGGUCUUCGGAUCGUAAAACUCUGUUAUCAGGGAAGAACAAAUGUGUAAGUAACUGUGCACAUCUUGACGGUACCUGAUCAGAAAGCCACGGCUAACUACGUG